AGUGCCUUGUUUCAGGGUCAAGGUGUAUCAGCAAAGAGAAGAGGUCAGCUCACUCUCAAGGGAGACAAGAACAAAAGGGGUCUGCAGUCUUAUGAACCCUGAGGCUGGAGGGAGGAAGCAGAGAGAGGAUUAGGAGUAGAAAAUUACUGAGUACUGAGUUAGAAGGAGAAAAAAUGUCUUCGAGUCUACCUCUCCUCAAUAAAGAGGUCUGAGUAGAGGCAACUUACAAAGGCCUCAGCGAAAGGCCACAAAUAAAGAGGGCUCCACCUGAGGACACUGGGGUCAAGAACACAGCUGUAUAAGUUUAAGAGCUUGGCCCACCAGUUGCAGUUGCCUGAAACUCCCUUCAGAAACUGUAAUUCAUUCUGUCCGCACCAAGUCAGCUGUGACAAAGCCAGCUCUCCCCGAGGCCUGCCAGGUUGGAGAGGAUGUGGAGAGAAGGAAACCCUCGUACACUGCUGGUGGGAGUGAAAACUGGUGCAGCCACUAUGGAAAGCAGUAUGGAGUAUCCUCAGCAAAUUAAGAAUAGAUCAACCAUAUGAUCCAGCUAUCCCACUGCUGGGUAUUUAUCCAAAGAACUUGAAAACACAAAGUCAUAAAGAUACUUGCACCCUUAUCUUCAUUGCAGCAUUAUAAACAAUAGCCAAGACUUGGAAGCAAACUAGGUGCCCAUCGAGGGAUGAAUGGAUAAAGAAGAGAUUUCUGUUAGGAGUGAAACUUGGCUUGUGUUUGUCUGAAUUUAACUGAGAAGAGCUGAAGCUACAUGAGUUAAAAGAAUUAGUUAAAUGAGCAGUGUUUCCUGGAGAUAUAUUGGCUAAAGUGAGAAGUGGAGAUACAGAUUAAUUGAAAAUCAAUUUUUGGAAUAGAUAAUGGGCUCUUAGAUAGCAUCCCAUUGGCAGCCUUUCAAAUAUCGUUCCAUUUUCUGCAGGCCUUAAUUAUUUCUGAUAAGGGUUCAACCCUUGUUUUUCUUCUUGGAGACCAGCUUGCUGAGCCAUCGUUAAGAAAUUGUUUGCUGUUAGAGAAAUGAUUGUGGAGCUCAUCUCAUGAACAUCCAUGCUUCCAAAAUUUGAGGUUGUGUUCUGCCUGAUGGCCAAGUUAUAUUAACUCUUGCCUUACAUAUUUUACCUGAUUGUUUGUUUGUUUACAGUGGAGGGGCUAAUCCAUUGUUAACUACUUCAUCAUACUUGGAAUUGAAAUCUCCGAGUUGAUAUGUAAUAUUUGGUAUUAAUAAACAGACAUACAUAAAACUUAAUUUCAUCUGCCAAAGAAAAUAAAAUUGUUUUCAACUUCGUUAAAAUAAAAGUAAAGUUAUAGCUCACAUAAUUUCAGGAUGGUAAGAGCACAGUGCUUGUAUCCUCAUCUCAUAAGAAGAUGAGUCAAUGGAUAAGGUUUAAAGUUGUCUAAAGUUGAUAUUUUAAUUAAAAAUCCACUGAAGUUUUAAAAUGUGUAACUCUUCCGUAUCUAGUGGAAUAAAAAUAACGGUGAA
rnacentral:lncRNA from 1 species